GGGUGCUGUAUUCACUCUUCCAGUAACCCCAUUUAAACAGCCAUGAAGGACUCAUAAGAUUGUUCAAAAAUGCUAGAAUUUUCAACAGAAGCAGCAUGCCAUUUGGAAAAAUCUACAAGAAUGUUCACUUCAUCAGAAGGGAGAAGACUUCAUUCCCCUCAGCUGCACCUUGGCUACAAAAUAAGCCUGUUGAAAUGGCAAAUGUGGUAGGGGAAUGCUGGUGAAGCAACUGAUACUUGUGGACCCAGGUUGUACUCAGGUUGUUUUGGAGAGCACUGCAGGUUGUCUCAGAGGUGCGAUGCGGUGCGAUGUCCUUUGGUGCAUUCAGGACAUUACCACAGUUGUUGAGUCCUUACCAGGCACGUUCAAAGCUACUCUGGACAUGGAGGAAAUAGGAUGCUCCUCCAGUAGCCAUUUUAAUGUGGUGGAAAAGGAAAGAAAAGAGCUGCAUUCAGCUUUGCAUCCAGAAACUCUCCUUAAAAAGUAUACAAAUAAAGCGAAACCCUUCAUAUGUGAAAACAACUUGGGAUUCCUUCUGACCAAAUCAGCAUACUGCACUGGUGCAAAGGCUACUUUGGACUAGCUGGUGUUUGGAUUGCAUUGUCCUGGCAUGAACCUUCCUCAUGCUUUUCUCCCAGCUUGUCCUGCUCCCCGGUUGUUUAAUGUGGGUAUGAGAAGUCUCCUUUCGCUGUCAAGAGUAAGCAGCUCUGGGGUGGGCUGUGCCAGCCAUUGUCCCACUAAAUAAAAUCCUUUCCAGGGGGAUGACA
rnacentral:lncRNA from 1 species